rnacentral:misc_RNA from 1 species
GUGAAUCAUCGAAUCUUUGAACGCAAAUUGCACUCUCCUCUGAGAGUAUGCCUGUUUGAGGGUCAGCCUAUAAAAAAUCUACAUCGUUGCUGUUUCGCGGUGGCGUUCGUCGGAAAUUUGGUCAUCUUAAAUCCUUUUGAUUUAAGCGACUUAAAAUUUUCUUUUGGUUCCAUGAACUUUUCUAAGAUCUAUUUCUUUACACGUUUAAUGUAUCUAUUUUUACUAUACGUGACCAUCAUAUCGGAUCGCGUCCAUAAUUUUUCAUUAUUUGACCUCAAAUCAUGUAAGAAUACCCGCUUAA